GCAACCGCCCCGUCUGAGAAGUGAGGAGCCCCUCCGUCCGGCAACCACCCCGUCUGGGAAGUGAGGAGCGUCUCCGCCCAGCAGCCACCCCGUCCGGGAGGGAGGUGGGGGGGGUCAGCCCCCCGCCCGGCCAGCCGCCCCGUCCUGGAGGUGAGGGGCUCCUCUGCCCGGCCGCCCCUACUGGGAAGUGAGGAGCCCCUCUGCCCGGCCAGACGCCCCGUCCAGGAGGGAGGUGGGGGGGUCAGCCCCCCGCCCGGCCAGCCGCCCAGUCCGGGAGGGAGGUGGGGGGUCAGCCCCCCGCCCGGCCAGCCGCCCCGUCUGGGAGGGAGGUGGGGGGAUCAGCCCCCCGCCUGGCCAGCCGCCCCAUCCGGGAGGUGAGGGGCGCCUCUGCCCGGCCGCCCCUACUGGGAAGUGAGGAGCCCCUCUGCCCGGCCAGCCGCCCCGCCCGGGAGGGAGGUGGGGGGGUCAUCCCCCCACCUGGCCAGCCGCCCCAUCCGGGAGGGAGGUGGGGGGGUCAGCCCCCUGCCCGGCCAGCCGCCCCGUCCGGGAGGGGGGAGGGGGGGUCAGCCCCCUGCCCGGCCAGCCGCCCCGUCCGGGAGGGAGGUGGGGGGGGUCAGCCCCCCGCCUGGCCAGCCGCCCCGUCCGGGAGGGAGGUGGGGGGAUCAGCCCCCCGCCUGGCCAGUCGCCCCGUCCGGGAGGUGAGGGGCGCCUCUGCCCGGCCGCCCCUACUGGAAAGUGAGGAGCCCCUCUGCCCGGCCAGCCGCCCCGUCCGGGAGGGAGGCGGGGUGGGGGGGGGGGGGUCGGCCAGCCGCCCCGUCCGGGAGGGAGGUGGGGGGGGUCAGCCCCCCUUCCGGCCGGCCGCCCCGUCCGGGAGGUGAGGGGCGCCUCUGCCCGGCCGCCCCUACUGGGAAGUGAGGACCCCUCUGCCCGGCCAGCCGCCCCGUCCGGGAGGGAGGUGGGGGGGACAGCCCCCCGCCCAGCCAGCCGCCCUAUCCAGGAGGUGAGGGGCGCCUCUGCCCGGCCGUCCCUACUGGGAAGUGAGGAGCCCCUCUGCCUGGCCAGCCGCCCCGUCCGGGAGGGUGGUGGGGGGGUCAGCCCCCCGCCCGGCCAGCCGCCCCAUCCGGGAGGUGAGGGGCGCUUCUGCCCGGCCGCCCCUACUGGGAAGUGAGGAGCCCCUCUGCCCGGCCACGACCCCGUCUGGGAGGUGUGCCCAGCGGCUCAUUGGGGAUGGGCCAUGAUGACAAUGGCGGUUUUGUGGAAUAGAAAGGCGGGAAGGGUGGGGAAAAAAUUGAGAAAUCGGAUGGUUGCCGGGUCUCUGUGGAUAGAAGUAGACAUGGGAGACUUUUCAUUUUGUUCUGUACUAAGAAAAAUUCUUCUGCCUUGGGAUCCUGUUGAUCUGUGACCUUAUCCCCAACCCUGUGCUCUCUGAAACAUGUGCUGUGUCCACUCAGGGUUAAAUGGAUUAAGGGCGGUGCAAGAUGUGCUUUGUUAAACAGAUGCUUGAAGGCAGCAUGCUCGUUAAGAGUCAUCACCACUCCCUAAUCUUAAGUACCCAGGGACACAAACACUGCGGAAGGCCAAGGCCGCAGGGUCCUCUGCCUAGGAAAACCAGAGACCUUUGUUCACUUGUUUAUCUGCUGACCUUCCCUCCACUAUUGUCCUAUGACCCUGCCAAAUCCCCCUCUGCGAGAAACACCCAAGAAUGAUCAAUAAAAAAA
rnacentral:lncRNA from 1 species